rnacentral:lncRNA from 10 species
UUAUUAACAGUAGCAGUUUCCAUUUAUUGAGAGCUUACUAUGGAGUAGGCACUGAACACUCACGAUAAUUCUAUGAAGUAUUAUUAUUAACCCCAUCUAUCAGUUGAAGAAAAAUGAGACCCAGAAAGGUUAAGCAAGUCAUUUAAAGUCACAGAACAAACAAGGUUCCUGGAUUUUCCUAUGCACCUGUAUCUGUGUGGACCCAAAGCCCCGGCACUUCACAAUGAACUCCAGCGUCCUCUAGAAAUCUAGGAACCGAAGGACUUCUUGACAAACUGCUCUACGACAGUAACGAGGCCUUAGAGCUGCAGCCAGACUGACUUCGAGUUUCGGCCGCAUCCUUUUCUGUGACCCUCAGCAGGUUCCUUCACUCUUUUGAGCCUCAGUUUCCCCAAUUGUAUAACGAGGGUAAAAAACCACGCCUUUCUCUCAGGGUUAUUGUGGGUAUUCAUUGAGAAGACGUGUGUGGAGCCCGGUGUCCGGCACCCAGUGAGAGCCUGGAACAAUCAUUAGGAUGUCUGAGUCCUUAUCACUCGUGCGCAGCACAACACGACCGUGGGCACAGGGUUGAAGGCGGUUCCCUACGCCUAGCCUCUCGAUAGGAACCUUCAGGGACGGGUGGACUUAAAGGAGCCGGUGGCCUUAAGAGUCCAGUCGAUGCUGCCACGUGAUGGGCCUGGGGGAAAGCCCCGAUCCCAAGCGCCAACAGAGCAGCCGACCUCAGCCAACCUCAACCAACACGUAGGCGAGGAUGCCCAGGGUGAGCGCCAGCGGCGAGAAGACGCGCUAUCGCGAGAUCGGUGGGACCUACGCGUUUACAGGCCGGAAGUGAGGGGCGGGCCUAAGGGGGCGCGCUCCUUUUGAAACCUGAGACGGAGACCUGCGGAGGGCGAGGGCUGGUUGGAGGUCGCUGUCCUUUCUGGGAACCAAGCAGGGGUCGCAGGAGGGCGGGGAUGGGUCAGCGGGGAUCUCUGAGUGGGGUUCGGCUGAGAGAGGCCACAGUUUCAUCUUUGGGAAGCUACCCUGGGCCGGCCACGCGCCGUGAGCCGGACUGGCGACGCCCCCCUGCCUCCACCGUGCUCCUUCACCCGAGAAAUUCAGCUCAGCCCCAGCCUCUCGGCAACCUCCCUUUGGCUCCGCCUUUUAAAGGACCUUUACGAGACAGGCAAGAGAGCCACAGAAGAGAAAGUGAUGUGAAGACAGAAGCAGGGAUUGGAGUGAUCCAUCUACAAGCCAAGAAAUACCAAUGGUUGCUGCCAGCCACCAGGAUCUAGGAGAGUGGCAUGGAACAGAUUUUCCCUUAGAGCUUCCAGAAAGAACUAACCCUGUCAACACUGUGAUUCUGGACAGUGAGAGAGAAAUUUCUAUUGUUUUAAGCCAUCAAGUUUGUGGUAAUUUGUUAUGGCAACCGUAGGAAACAUCACCCAGUAAAUCCAAAUUAAAUAUUAUCCCAAUUUUUGCUUGAUACCAGAAAUGGCUGUAGUGUUUCAACACCCUCUAGCAUAAGAGAAUUGUAACAGGGGAAGCUGGUGUGGAAACAGACAGCAGUCUGAACCAGUUUGGACAAAAAUACUGGUCUUGCAAAUUUUAGAAAAAGCACACAACCUCUGAACACAUGACUAGGGCCCCUUCCAGGAACUUAGAAGGGGCCCGGCCGAGGGAGAGUCCCUGAAGCUUAUGUUUAAUACAUUUUACAGAAGAGCUGCCUCGGUGUAGGAAGCAGUGUAGUGUUGCGAAGACAAGCUCUGGAGCCAGACACCCUGGGUUCAAAUCCCAAUUUCGCAACUGUCUAGCUGUUGACUUGAGAGAAGUUACUUAGCCUUUCUGCGCCCCAAUUUCUUCCUUCGUAAAAUAUAAAUGGCAGUAGCACUAUCUGCCUCAUAGGGUUGUUUACCUGGUGAAGUAACAUGAUACACAUAAGGCAC